ensembl:lncRNA
GGAAGUCCUGACCUUUCCUUCUCAGAGUUCCUACGGCUCUCUCUUGUUCUCUCUUGUCCAGGACUCCAGGCUUGUCUGAGGGGCUGGGGGCACCAGAGCAGGUCUUUGGUCCAUUUGUGUUCUCAGUGGCUCCAGGAAGUGCUUGAUUCCUAGUGGAAGCUCACCCAAUACUUGCUGAUUGCUUGCUUGUCCGUUUCAUUCUAACAGACUGGAAUCUAAGCAGCUUAUAAAGAAAUUAUAUAGCAUCAGAGCUUUUAGACGUUAACCCACCAGAGAGAUCAGAACUCUCAGGGCAAGGAGAGGGUUCUAACAGGUCCUGGAGGCAGGUGGCUGAUGGUUCGUGGGAAUUAAUACAAACUAUAGGUUUCUUGGUGAUGCGGGAACUAUGCGGAGUUAGCUACUGAUUAAACAAAUGGUCUUUAUUUUGUGAAACUUCUGGGUGUUGCUCCAACAUUUAAAAGAGGCGUUCUGUCUAAUGAAGCCCUGGGGGAGUUCUUUCCCCUUGAUGCCAGGAGGAGCCAGUUCCCCCAGGGGCAGGUGCUGUGACAGCCCGGCUCCCUGUCAGGCCCAGCGGGGCUCCAGAGGUCCCUGCUGUGAUGGCGUGGUGCCCGUGCUGAGCCCGCAGCCUGGGAGGUCAGAAGGGCCAGGUCUGCCUCACACCCGCAGGAGGGGAGCCGUCAGCAGGAUUAGGAGGGGGGCUAAGGGUUCAAAGGGCAAGGUUGUGGGGAGCAGGCACCCAUUUUGGUGUGACGGGGUCCCCUGCAGAGGGGUCCCUGAGCCCCCAUGGAGCCUGGGCAAAUCUGCCAGCGAGGGGGCUGCUCUGUGUCAGACUCUCAGAUUCACGGUGCAGCUGUCAGACCUUUGUGUCUCCACCCAGGGUUCUGGAGGUGCACAGGGGAGGCCCAGGACUGAAUGGUUUGCUAGUGCUCCCUGGGGGAGACACAGCCACCCACCAGAAUUGCCUUUACCAGCGACCUCUGACAGUGCCCACAGCUGUGGUUGGCAGGUUGCGGUUCCUUGCAGCCAAUCCCAGGCAAGCAAGGUGACUGCCGCAGAAGGAAAGGACACAGCCUCCCUCCGCCAGCCCUCGAGGACUGGUUUUUGUCUUUUACUUCACAGACAGCUUAACGUUGUUAUGGAAGAACAUUUUAUUAAACAUAUUCAACUCACUUCCAAUGAAAUGAUUAAUUUUUCAUUUACAGUGGUGUCCAAUGUUUGUCUUCUGUUCUUUUUUUUCCUUUCAAACCAGCACCAAAAAGUAAAACAAAAAUACCAUGGGUACAGUACGUAAGUUAACUAAUGGAAAAUAUAUACAUUUGACUCUGAAAUGAAGAAAAGAGAACAAAGCAAUGAUAUUAUUGCCAUUGAGGAUCUUUCCCUGUGUUCUAAUAAUAUCAAGCCAUGGUCAACCGAGAGGGUUUCAUUUGCACCAAUGAAAUAGCACCAUAAGAUUGUGAGAGUCUGUAGUUAGUAACACAUUUGUGCAACCAAAAAGGUACAGUACUUGAGUGACAGUACGGGGUAUUGUUACUAAAGAAACAUCACUGUUGCAAUGACAGGGUUUCAUUGUCUUCUGUACAAAGUGGAGCAAGAAUGCCGUGACGGCUUCACCGAGAUCAACCAUUGCUUGUGCCGUGAACAGAAGGCGGGCUGGUGAAUUUCAGAGCGACAGUGCCAGCAAGAGCUACAAGAGCUCAGAAAAACCCGAACUUUGGGGAACCAAAGGGAUGUUUAAUGAUAACUGGAUCAAUCACUUGCAUUCUGAGGGUGUGGGGCCCUUGCCAGGGGUGUCCAGUUGACACGGCCAGGGUGGCCAAUGGG